AGGGUUUGAUCAUGGCUCAGAACGUACGCUGGCGGCACGCCUAACACAUGCAAGUCGAACGAAGUAGCAAUACUUAGUGGCAGACGGGUGAGUAACAUGUAGGUAUCUGCCCUUUGGCCUGGAAUAACACGAGGAAACUUGUGCUAAUACCGGAUAAGUCUUUACGGAGAAAGCUUUAUGCACCAUUGGAUGAGCCUGCACUUGAUUAGUUUGUUGGUGGGGUAAUGGCCUACCAAGACGAUGAUCAAUAGCUGAUUUGAGAGGAUGAUCAGCCACAUUGGGACUGAGACACGGCCCAAACUCCUACGGGAGGCAGCAGUGGGGAAUCUUGCACAAUGGAGGAAACUCUGAUGCAGCGAUGCCGCGUGAGUGAAGAAGGCCCUUGGGUUGUAAAGCUCUUUCGUCGGGGAAGAAAAUGACUGUACCCGAAUAAGAAGGUCCGGCUAACUUCGUGCCAGCAGCCGCGGUAAUACGAAGGGACCUAGCGUAGUUCGGAAUUACUGGGCUUAAAGAGUUCGUAGGUGGUUGAAAAAGUUGGUGGUGAAAUCCCAGAGCUUAACUCUGGAACUGCCAUCAAAACUUUUCAGCUAGAGUAUGAUAGAGGAAAGCAGAAUUUCUAGUGUAGAGGUGAAAUUC
rnacentral:rRNA from 1 species